rnacentral:rRNA from 1 species
UACGGAGGGAGCUAGCGUUGUUCGGAAUUACUGGGCGUAAAGCGCACGUAGGCGGCUACUCAAGUCAGAGGUGAAAGCCCAGGGCUCAACCUUGGAACUGCCUUUGAAACUAGGUAGCUAGAAUUCUGGAGAGGUCAGUGGAAUUCCGAGUGUAGAGGUGAAAUUCGUAGAUAUUCGGAAGAACACCAGUGGCGAAGGCGACUGACUGGACAGAUAUUGACGCUGAGGUGCGAAAGCGGGGGGAGCAAACAGG